AAAUAUCAGGUGAUACAUAGUAAAUAAACUAAAAACUACAUUACUCACCUUUUUUUUCUUUUUCUUUUUUAGAACUAGCAGCUAACAUGAACUCAAAGUCUGCAGAGCACACGGCAUUCAUCAGGAAGUGAUAUGUCAGUAGUUAGUGCAAUACCUACAUCACAAUUUAACGUUUAGGAUUAACACCACAUCCUGUUUUACCCUGCAAAAAUCAGGUAGGAGUCGGACACACAAAUCAAAUGUCCAGCUGAAAUUUAUUCUCAUCAAGCUUGUUAGGGGAUAAAAAAAAAAAAAAAAAAAAUCACAACUUGUGUCCAUCAGGACAAACACAAAGGUUUUCAUUUUGUUACUUUUCCAUAUGUUCCCAUGUGACCAACUUCAACAGAAUCUUAUUAUACAGUUACCUUUUCUGUCCAAUCAACCCACCUCAUAUAAGUGCUCAUAAGCACUCAUAACGCAGAUUUAUAUUCAUGCCAACUGCACCUCUUAUCACCUCCCACCCAGACAUCUGCUGCACCUUCAGCUCAAAUGAUUUGCUCUCACACGGAGAAGUCAAAUGAACGACUAUACGCCAUUUAAUCUACGGACUGCAUGUUGAAGUUGGUAUUCACCAAGCAAAUAUUGGAGCUGACUGCAGCCAAAGCUUUUCAUUACGGAGAUAAAGCCGCCUGCACGGAGGUCGUUGAGGUCUGAGGAGACGGCGACGAGAGCAGAAGCUGUCGAGGCUCCGGCUUCUCUCUGCGAAGCCGCUGAAAGAUGGCCGCUGCCUGGAGAAAGACCUGAUCUGACGGAGGGCCGACUGAGGAAGACGGGACAUGGAAGACGACAGCCGUGAGAUGGUGGGGUGGAAAUGUUCAGCCGGAGCAGUGGAGAAAAGUGAAAACACUUCGAGGGGCAUCAGGCGAACAUGGACGUUUAAUCACAAACUUCAGUGUGCAGUCAGCUCUUAUGAUCAUCAGGAAAGCAAGAAGCCUAAGCAGCAACUUGUUCUCUCUGUGAGGUGGAACUAGCCAGUGAGCAUGGGGGAGAUUUAUCAGUGUGUUUGGAAAAAAAUCAGAGUGAGGUCUUCAGGCCAAAUGAGCCUCACUUCUCUGUGGGUGAGAGUACAGCUGGAGAGAUUAUCCCAUCCAACACGCGUCAUCAGUGUCGCCUCACAACAGGCCUCCAGUUGCUCUGGACGGGCUGCGUUUGUGUGUGCGUGCGUUAGCUUCAAUAAUCAGCCCUGUUGGAGACGACGGGGUUUGUGCGGCCAUAAGCUGACCUGGAA